UACGGAGGGGACUAGCGUUGUUCGGAAUUACUGGGCGUAAAGCGCACGUAGGCGGCUUUGUAAGUUAGAGGUGAAAGCCCGGGGCUCAACUCCGGAACUGCCUUUAAGACUGCAUCGCUUGAAUCCAGGAGAGGUGAGUGGAAUUCCGAGUGUAGAGGUGAAAUUCGUAGAUAUUCGGAAGAACACCAGUGGCGAAGGCGGCUCACUGGACUGGUAUUGACGCUGAGGUGCGAAAGCGUGGGGAGCAAACAGG
rnacentral:rRNA from 1 species